rnacentral:tRNA from 1 species
GACACUUUGGCCGAGUGGUUAAGGCGCACGCCUGCUAUUAGCUCAUGAUUCCUCAUAGGAGGUUCAUGUCUCCCAGCGUGUGGGUUCGCCCGCGUGAGUUCGAAUCUCACAGGUGUCG